rnacentral:rRNA from 1 species
AUCGAACGCUGGCGGCAUGCCUUACACAUGCAAGUCGAACGGCAGCAUGAUCUAGCUUGCUAGAUUGAUGGCGAGUGGCGAACGGGCGAGUAAUACAUCUGAACGUGACUUGUAGUGGGGGACAGCUAGCCGAAAGUUUUACUAAUACCGAAUACGACCUGCGGGUGAAAGUGGGGGAACGCAAGGCGUCAUGCUAUAGACUCGGCCGUUGUCUGCUUAGCUAGUUGGUGGGGUCAAGACUCACCAAGGCGACGAGCAGUAGCUGGUCUGAGAGGACGCUCAGCCACACUAGAGCUGAGACACGGCCCAGGCUCCUACGGUAGGCAGCAGUGGGGAAUGGUAGACAAAAGGCGAGAGCCUGAUCCAACAAGGCGGCGUGUGUGAAGAAGGCCUUCGGUUUGUAAAGCACUUUUGUCCGGAAAGAAAUGGCUCUGGUUAAUACCUGGGGUCGAUGACGGUACCGGAUAAAUAAGGACCGGCUAACUACGUG